rnacentral:lncRNA from 1 species
UGAGCAGGUGACAGUUCGCUAAUGGCAACUUUCCUGAGAAGAAGGCAACAGCGGUAAACUUCCAGAGCAACGUCCACAUUGUGAGGACACGUGGAUUCUGCCCGAGGUCACAAAAAGUGCACGUGGACCCUCAGCCCAGAUGGCUAGGUAGAAGGCCCAUUGAGAAGCUGGAAGUUCUCAAUCUGUUGAAAUCCAUGGAGAUUUUCCUUCUUGUGAGUCUUCCACUCACUGUACUGCGUAGACGAGAGUCUUUACAGCAGGUCUGCGGUUUAAAAUCCUGUAGUUCAGCAAGGUAAGCACAUGCUGUUGAUUGACAGCUCAUCUUCCCCUUAAAAGGGGCCAUGGUGGGGA